UUUAUUACAGUCUUUUUACUCUUUUCUCGCCCUUUUGGGAAAAAGUAAGGAAACAUGGCGUUUGAUUUCGUACAUGAAAAGACAAGUGGAAAGAAAGAGCGGGCUUAAAGGACUUUCCAUGACGGUGCAAGGUGACUCUGGUGAUGUCUAAAUUCACUUUUCCCCGGCAAUGAGUUCACGUUGGUAACGUUUACAACCAGCAACGCGCAUUUGUCUUUGAAGCUUAUUACUGAUUCUCCCAACUGUAAAUGUGCUUUAGAAACUUUUUCAGCCUUUUCCCUUAUGGAGCUCACUAACUCUUGCUUAAAAUGGAGUAGGCCAACACACCAACAGUAUAGUACUUGACGACCCAGAGCCACCACCUUGGGUUGAUAGUUUUUCAAGGCUUUUCUACUAAGAAGAAAAGAAGACGCGUUUUUCUUUUUACCCUUUACUUCUUUUCUAUGAUACCAGAGACAAGAGGUUCUUUGUUCGUAUUCAGCAAUUGUUCUGUCGUUGGUGAAUCCCGUUCCUGAUAUAGAGACAAAAUAAUCAAUCAUUUUAUCUGAUGUCCCUGAGCGGACACAAAAUGAUCAAAUCAUUUGCUAGUUGUUACCAACAAUGCCCCUUUUAGUACAAGAUUACCAUGCCAGCGUUACCAGCUUGGAGCGAAGCGCGCUUAAAUAGUUAAAUGGGCUUUGGAAAAUGUGCUUCAACUGAUACACAUGAUAGGGGAUUGAGUUAGAUUACAUUUCAUUGUGCACUGCGUGUUGAUCGCUGUUGCUGCCAAAUCUAACCUCUGUAGGAAAAUAAGAGGAAGAAUCAGGUGUAGUUGUAUCCUUCGUUGAAUUUACUUAAGCUGUACUUAAGUUAAUACAAUCCUGAG
rnacentral:misc_RNA from 1 species